rnacentral:tRNA from 1 species
GCCCGUCUGGCUCAGUGGUAGAGCGUAUCACUAGUACUAAACCGCUAUGAUAAGGUCAUCAGUUCGAUUCUGAUGAUGGGCA